rnacentral:rRNA from 1 species
UGGGGAAUAUUGCACAAUGGGCGGAAGCCUGAUGCAGCAACGCCGCGUGAGGGAUGACGGCCUUCGGGUUGUAAACCUCUUUUUAGCAAGGAAGAAGCGAAAGUGACGGUACUUGCAGAAAAAAGCGCCGGCUAACUACGUGCCAGCAGCCGCGGUAAUACGUAGGGCGCAAGCGUUAUCCGGAAUUAUUGGGCGUAAAAGAGCUCGUAGGCGGUUUGUCGCGUCUGCUGUGAAAACCCGAGGCUCAACCUCGGGCCUGCAGUGGGUACGGGGCAGACUAGAGUGCGGUAGGGGAGAUUGGAACUCCUGGUGUAGCGGUGGAAUGCGCAGAUAUCAGGAAGAACACCGAUGGCGAAGGCAGAUCUNUGGGCCGUAACUGACGCUGAGGAGCGAAAGGGUGGGGAGCAAACAGGCUUAGAUGACCCUGGUAGUCCACCCCGUAAACGUUGGGAA